AUAGUGACGAUGAGGGAAAGAGUAUCUUUUUUAUCAGUCGACAGAGAGCGUAUCCGAGGCUGGAAGAUAUGUGACGAAAGAAAAAGAGAAGAUGGAUCCGGAGUUUUCGCUUUUUAAAGGAAUGGGUUUGCGCACGUUACAGCGCUUAUGAGUCCUCUUAUCUUUAAGGGGAAAAUUAGAGUGGUACCGCGAAUGUCCUUCGUCUCUAUC
rnacentral:ncRNA from 1 species